rnacentral:rRNA from 1 species
AUCUCUAGACAACUCUUGACGCUGAGGCACGAAGGCUAGGGACGCAAACGGGAUUAGAUACCGCGGUAGUCCUAGCAAUAAACGGUGCAUGUUUGGUAUAGGCAGCUUCGACCCUGUCUGUGCCGAAGUUAAGGCGUUAAACAUGCCGCAUGAGAAGUACGGCCGCAAGGUUAAAACUCAAAGAAAUUGACGGGGGCCCGCACAAGCGGUGGAGUAUGUGGCUUAAUUCGAUGCAACGCGAAGAACCUUACCUGACCUUGACAUGUGGUAUGACAACCGAUGAAAAUCGGUGACGGUUCCGCAAGGAAUGCUGGGGCUACACAGGUGCUGCAUGGCUGUCGUCAGCUCGUGUCGUGAGAUGUUGGGUUAAGUCCCGCAACGAGCGCAACCCCUAUGAGUUGUUGCCUACCCUGUAAAAAGGGAGCUCUCUACUCAGACUGCCCUGGGAAACGGGGAGGAAGGUGGGGAUGACGUCAAGUCAGCAUGGCCCUUACGGUCAGGGCUGCACACGUACUACAAUGCACACUACAGAAUGAUCCAAAAUUGUGAGAUAGAGGUAAUCCUUAAAAGUGUGCCCAGUUCGGAUUGUAGGCUGCAACUCGCCUACAUGAAGCCGGAAUCGCUAGUAAUGGCGUAUCAGCCACGGCGCCGUGAAUACGUUCCCGGGCCUUGUACACACCGCCCGUCACAUCAUGGAAGC